GACGAACGCUGGCGGCGUGCUUAACACAUGCAAGUCGAACGAUGAAGCCCAGCUUGCUGGGUGGAUUAGUGGCGAACGGGUGAGUAACACGUGGGCAACCUGCCCCAAACUCUGGGAUAACUCCUCGAAAGAGGUGCUAAUACCGGAUACGAACUAGGUAGACAUCUGCACUAGUCGGAAAGUUUUUCGGUUUGGGAUGGGCCCGCGGCCUAUCAGCUUGUUGGUGAGGUAACGGCUCACCAAGGCUACGACGGGUAACCGGCCUGAGAGGGCGACCGGUCACACUGGGACUGAGACACGGCCCAGACUCCUACGGGAGGCAGCAGUGGGGAAUAUUGCGCAAUGGGCGAAAGCCUGACGCAGCGACGCCGCGUGAGGGAUGAAGGUCUUCGGAUCGUAAACCUCUUUCAGUAGGGACGAAGCGAAAGUGACGGUACCUAAAGAAGAAGCACCGGCUAACUACGUGCCAGCAGCCGCAGUAA
rnacentral:rRNA from 1 species